rnacentral:rRNA from 1 species
ACACAUGCAAGUUGAACGAAGGUAUCUUUUAGAUCUACUGAGUAGCGGACGGGUGAGUAAUACGUAAGAACCUGCUUUUUGGAAAUGGAUAACUGUUGGAAACGAUAGCGAAUACAUUAUAUAACUGAGAAGAAAAAAGGGAAAGCUGCCAAAAAAAGGGCUUGCGCCUGAUUAGCUAGUUGGUGCGAUAAUAGCGUACCAAGGCAAUGAUCAGUAGCUGUUCUGAGAGGAUGAUCAGCCACAUUGGGACUG